CGGAGGACCCGGUCAGCCCUGGGAGCACAGGUGAAGGCAAUUCACGUGUGUGACUGGAAGGGGUGGAGUCUGCCUGCACUUCUCUUAGACUCCAUUUAAGGGCUGACUGCCAUGGGAGAAGGCUUCUGGAGAUCCCUCCUUGGUGAAGCUUUCCUCUGUGAACCUGGAAUCUUCUGAUAUGGCUGCUACGUCUUUGAAGAGAGAUUUCCUGUGCCCUUCCUCAGAUGUCUGUGAUACUACCAAGAGGAACUGUCUUUCUGUAAGUGGAACUCUUCUUUGAAUAGCACAUUCAUAAUAUGAAUUAAUUGAAAACACUCAUAGUAGUGUGUGUGUUUGUAGAGAAGUCUGAACAGAAUUUAGUAUGCAAAAUAAUUUGUCUUAUAUUCUGAUGGUCUUAACCUCAAAUUUUGUAUGAUUUUUCAUGGCUCAUAAUUGAGAAUAAUGAUGCUCAGGGGAAACUCCUUUUAUUUUUUUUUGCUUUGGACGUUUGAAAUGCAUAGUAAACUUCUAUUCUUAGCUUAGACAGUGAUAAUAAAAGCAGUACGUGUCUCUGUCAACAUUAGUGAAAAAUAAGUCUCUGGGGAUUUCUGAAUGUUUUAUUUAAUGAUGAGAACAGUAAAUCUGUCCUGUGUGGUGUCUGAGUGAGCUGACUUAUAUCAAAACAUCAUUAUUUCAUUUUUAUACGUUACAGCAGUGUUUUCGGAAUAAGUACUGGAAUGAAAGCCAAAAGCUCCCCUCUAGAUUGCAAGAAUCGUAUUGUAGGGAUUGUUAAGGGAUUGAUUUAUAUUUUUUGGUUUAGCAAUUUUGAAGAGGAGGAAGAGGGAGAGCCUUGAUCUGCUUGCUUAGCUUGGUUUGGCAGUUUAAUCAUGGUAGUGCAGCCAUCAAACCUGUGCACUUAUCUGGGUGAUUGAAGAUGAGCACCCCGUGAGAUCUUGAUUUGCAUCUAUACCCUUAAUUACUAUCAGAUUGCAGAAGUAAGGACUUACUAGAAUUACUGAAGAGUAGUGCAUUUGUUUCUUCAGAAAUACGGAUUUUUAUGCUCCGGACUCUUAAUUUUAACUUAGUUGAGCCAUGAGGCUUUUUUAUAUACGUGUUGUAUUUGGCAUUUUUUCUUCAAACUUGGAAAGUGUACACACAUCCCUGAAGUCUUUAGGAUAAUAAUGAACUUUGUUGGAAGUCUCUGAAUGUGAAUUACAGCGGGUAGCUUUACGUUACAGCUAAACAGUACUGUGGAAGAUGGGUGUCUUGCUCCUGCUCCUUCCCUCCUUUGCUCUGGCACUUACCUGAGCCUAAGCUGAUGUGUCACAUCAGCAAAAAGAGGCUGUUUUGGUUUUUGUUAGGAGGUAGUUUUCUACUGUUUUGGAAGCUGAAUGUAUUUGUAAUGCAAGGAAAUAAGCGUGAGCCUGGAAAAUUGAAGAAUGGAGCAGGGGCAGGGAGAAGAAUUAAUUUCCUUUCUUUUGAGCCCUUAAAUUUCUCCUUUCUGGAAGCCAGAGAAAUGCAUCUGCUGGAUGCAGCAGGAGAUGAGAAGGGCCAACAUUUGGAAGCAGAGUGUUGGUUUAGGCAUAGCAUGAACAACAGCUACUCUGGGAGUUGCAAGGAUUGGGAUGGAAAAGGCAGAGAGGUAUGGAAGGCUGCUUGGCUCAUGAAGUCUGAGAGGGGGACUGCAUGGCCCAGGUGACAGCUGCUUGGAGCAAGCCAGAAACGGCCCCACAGUUCCCCAUCCCCUGCAUGAGGGAAGCAGCAGGAAGGCAGUUUCAAGGGAGGGAGGCUUAGGAACUGCUGUGGUGAUCAGUCAGUUUGCAGAGUAUUUGAACUGGGAAAACAAAUGGGCUGCCUGUACUAACUGUUCUCUCCUGAGAGGGAACAGUGCUGUGGUUAUAAAUGCAAGCGUAGGGAUCUAGUAGUCACAGCAGUGGUACCAAAAAGUAACAGUUGUGAAUGCUAUUACUUUUUACAUAACUCAGAUUUUAAAAUUAUCAGUGGUUUUUGGUAUACAGAAUUAGUGGCAAGUAUGGAUGGAUUAGUAUGUGAGCCUUUUAAUGCUAAAAACAGAAACUAAUGAGAUUACUGGAUCCUAUGUCACAAACCAUUGACUUUUCUCUCCCCUCCAGGAAGGAAAAAAAAAAAAAGGAAAACAACCCCCCCCUCCACUAUCUCUUAUUUGUCAUUAGGGACAAAAAAAAAAAGUCAAAGCCUUACUUACUGGUCUGAUUGCUGAUACUUAAAGUAAUUGCGUAAAUUGGGACAUCUAAGUGAUGUUUUAGGUGUAAAACUAUAAGAAGAAAUUUGUGAAAAGGAGCUUGACCUAUAAGAGACUUCAGCCUUUAUGUUUGAUGUAAAUGAAUUGAGCAAAAAAUUGGAGAGCUUGCUUUUUCUCGUACCUGCUUUACGUAAGUGUUCUUUACUGGCACCAAAACUGUAUUUUGUUCUCCUGAAUUUAUUUAAUAGCCUUUCCAGCAAUUUCAUCUGAUCAUCCACUGUUAGUUUUUUUUUUUAAAAAAGCACUAGAUUUAUUUUUAGAAGUUCAGACUCUUAGGAAUGUGACAAUAUCACAUGAGUAGGCCAGUUACUGGAGAAAGAGCCAUACACACUGCAAAAUAUGGAAUAAUGAGGCUAGGAGCCUGUGCUGUCGCCAUUCAGUUUAACAUAGCUGGAAAUAUAAGAAAGUAAGCAAAUUAUUUGAUGAGUUAGCAGUGAACCUGGCUGUAACAAUUUUACAGAAGCAAGGGCAGCCAACAGCUUGUCAGUUUGAUGGAUGGCCCCCAAAGUUUUUUUUUUAAAAGGAAAUCACUCAAAUCUAUUGCUUUCAUAGGAUUUACCAGCGUGUAUCAGUUCUCAGCUGCUGGCCUGGGAACCACCAGUGGAAUGUAAAGCCUGUCUAUCAUCUGUAAACUGAAGUAUUUUCAAUAACCGUGCAAUUCAGCAGCAGAAGAGGAGUAAUUAAAUGUCUUAUAAAAUGCUGAAGAAAACAAUUAGCAAGCAGAAAAGUUGGAGAUCAAUGUAGA
rnacentral:lncRNA from 1 species